rnacentral:rRNA from 1 species
AGCAGCCGCGGUAAUUCCAGCUCCAAUAGCGUAUAUUAAAGUUGCUGCAGUUAAAAAGCUCGUAGUUGAAUUUCGGGACCAUCAUGUCGGUCGUGCCUCGGUACGUACUGGUAUUGUUGGUUUCUCCCUUCUGACGAACCAUGAUGUCAUUUAUUUGGUGUCGUGGGGAAUCAGGACUGUUACUUUGAAAAAUUAGAGUGUUUAAAGCAGGCUCACGCUUGAAUACAUUAGCAUGGAAUAAUGAAAUAGGACGUUUGAUUCUAUUUUGUUGGUUUCUAGGAUCGACGUAAUGAUUAAUAGGGAUAGUUGGGGGCAUUAGUAUUCAAUUGUCAGAGGUGAAAUUCUUGGAUUUAUUGAAGACUAACUACUGCGAAAGCAUUUGCCAAGGAUGUUUUCAUUAAUCAAGAACGAAAGUUAGGGGAUCGAAGACGAUCAGAUACCGUCGUAGUCUUAACCAUAAACUAUGCCGACUAGGGAUCGGAUGAUGUUAAUUUUUAAUGUACUCAUUCGGCGCCUUAAC